AUAUUGUACAUAUAGUACAUAUAUGGAUCUUCGAUAUGUUUUCUAUAUCAUACCUGAAUCAUUGAAAUUUACCAUAAAACAAUACAGAAAUAUACAUAACAAUGAUCUGGAUGAUAACUUUCUUCAUAAAGAUUUUAUGGAUUUGAAAAAAAGGUUCAAGAUUAUUUUAUGAUAAACUCUUAUCUGACAAUAUUAAACCUCAUAUUUGCCUAAAAUGGGAAAACUUAUUUUACGAUAUUGAUUUCGAUUGGCGUAUGAUUUUUAAUAUUUGCAGAAGGAAUGUGAAAGAUGUAAAACUUUUAGACUUUCAAUU